rnacentral:rRNA from 1 species
AUACGUAGGGGGCGAGCGUUGUCCGGAUUUAUUGGGUUUAAAGGGUGCGCAGGCGGCCAUUUAAGUCAGCGGUUAAAUCGUGGGGCUCAACCCCAUUCUGCCGUUGAUACUGGGUGGCUUGAUUGCGGUCGAGGUUGGCGGAAUUCGUUGUGUAGAGGUGAAAUGCAUAGAUAUGACGAAGAACACCGAUUGCGUAGGCAGCUGACCAGACCGCAAAUGACGCUCAUGCACGAAAGUGCGGGGAUCGAACAGGAUUAGAUACCCUGGUAGUCCGCACAGUAAACGAUGAAUACUUGUUUUCGGCGAUAUAAUGUCGGAGGCAAAGCGAAAGCGAUAAGUAUUCCACCUGGGGAGUACGCCGGCAACGGUGAAACUCAAAGGAAUUGGCGGGG